UGAUACUUGCCUAAAUUUAUAUCAAGUGUGAAUGAACUACAUGUAUUUUGAAAUCAUAUCAUGGAAUUGUCUCAAAGGCGCUUUACAACAACUGUGAGUAGUUAGAAAUAUUAUUCCAUUACCGAAGUUAUCUAGUCCUUGCUGCAGCAUUUCACCAUUGCUCACCUGAUGUCAUAAAAGAAAACAAGAAAUAAAUCAAUUCAUCUAUUCAAUAAUGUAUAAAAAAAGGUACAUCGUAUCUUCCAGUUUUCUAUUUCAGAUAUACAUAUUGAUUUUAAGAUUAUGAGUAUGUUAUUUAUUUAAUUUAUCUAAUGAAUGAUAAAUUUUGAUUAGAUUUAUUCAAGAAAUGAGAUUAAAAAAAUGUAACAAUAUAUACGGGGCGUAUAGAUUUAAGUCCCAUCAGUUCCAACAAAGCUAUAAAUUACGAUCAAUUUUCGUAACGAACUGUCUUUCAAUUGCAUCGAUUUAUUUUUUUUCACUUAAGAUGUGUAUUUUAAUAUUAAAUUAUAACUGAGCAACAAUUUAUGUGUAAAAUACAUUUAUAGGCACAUAAAACGAGUGUUGUAUUAAAUAUGGAUUAAUUUUUACUUGUCGUUUAACAAUAAAAAAUACAAGCUAGAUAUG
rnacentral:misc_RNA from 1 species